CCACCUCUGCAGGCUGGCCAGCCCCCAGGCUGGGCUGGGUGAGUAUCUCUUUAAAAGGCUCACCUUCAAGCACAACUCAGAGC
rnacentral:pre_miRNA from 1 species